rnacentral:misc_RNA from 1 species
ACCUUCACCGGCCUUUUUUGGCUGCGUGGUGUUGGAUUUUGCUUCGCAAGAAAGCAUCGUCUGUAAAGGUUUCGACUCUGGUUCGUGGUGAAAGCAGCAACGAUGAGUUUCUUGGAAACCGGUGUUGACUGAAAGCCUCGGAUCGAGAGUCGUUAAGCAUUGGAUCUCAG